rnacentral:miRNA from 1 species
UCACCCGUAUUUUUCUAGACGUGCAUCCAAAUAGUUUAUGCAUGAUAAAGAAAAAAGUAAAAUGUUGAGACGCGCGUCUAGAAAAAGAAACUGUUGAGAUGCACGUCUAGAAAAAUAUGGGUG